AACUUUUAUGAAAUCCUUCCUGCAAAAUAUCUCUUCCUAUUUCUCCCCAAAUCUCAAGCACUCCCAACUUUUAUGAAAUCCUUCCUGCAAAAUAUCUCUUCCUAUUUCUCCCCAAAUCUCAAGCCCCAUUUUUCACUUCAGUUUCGUCCAGUGCUUUCGUUCCUUUCAUAGCAACUCGCAUUUUGUUCUGUGUGAUUAUCGACUAGGUUGAGCAAAGUGUGGUUGCCGGCCAGGUUCAGCAAAGCCAACUCGCGGUCAGGCCAGGUGCGCAAGCCAACUCGCGGCUAGGUUUAAUUCUUCAACUUCAUAUUUUUCUGAACCCUCUUCUACCCGGACAUCAAUGGUGAAUUAGAAGUUUCAGGUUAGGAAGGAGAAGUUGGGUAUUUUGAAUUACAAGUCUUCAUCAUUUAGGAAGGUUCUUAUUCUGGAAGCAAGGAAAGCAUAACUGUAUGUGAAAGUCUACCAAGAAUACAAGACUUCGACUUUGAGAUUUAAGUCUUGCUUCAUCUACCACUGUCCCAUCAUCGUCUUUUAAUGAGUGGAAACAAAAGUACAACAAUUUAGAAUCAACACUUAAAGCAUACAUGAUAAUGAAGAAAGGAAAGAUUCCUGAUGAAUUUACCUCAUUCUUUGAUUCUCAACCUCAAGAAGAUGGUGAUGCAAAUGAGUCUGAGUCUCCUUUGGGUGGUACAAUAGGAUCAUCUAGUGCUAGCAACAUUUAGGAAGUUUACGAUGUCUUAUAGGAUGAAACUAUAUUUAGCCUAUGGAUUUUGAGUAAUUGAGUUUAGGUGUUAUCACGAUUCAAUUUAACUUACUUUUAUAUACUAUGGUGUUUUUGAGAAUUGAAUGUUUUAAUGAUAUAUAAUUCAAGACUUUGGUAA